UACGUAGGGUCCGAGCGUUGUCCGGAAUUAUUGGGCGUAAAGGGCUCGUAGGCGGUUUGUCGCGUCGGGAGUGAAAUCCACUGGCUUAACUGGUGGCUUGCUUUCGAUACGGGCAGACUGGAGGUAUGCAGGGGAGAACGGAAUUCCUGGUGUAGCGGUGAAAUGCGCAGAUAUCAGGAGGAACACCGGUGGCGAAGGCGGGUCUCUGGGCCGAUACUGACGCUGAGGAGCGAAAGCGUGGGGAGCGAACAGG
rnacentral:rRNA from 1 species